rnacentral:rRNA from 1 species
CUCCUGGAAACGGGUGGUAAUGCCGGAUGUUCCACAUGAGCGCAUGCGAGUGUGGGAAAGGCUUUUUGCGGCAUGGGAUGGGGUCGCGUCCUAUCAGCUUGUUGGUGGGGUAACGGCCUACCAAGGCGUUGACGGGUAGCCGGCUGAGAGGGCGACCGGCCACAUUGGGACUGAGAUACGGCCCAGACUCCUACGGGAGGCAGCAGUGGGGAAUAUUGCACAAUGGGCGCAAGCCUGAUGCAGCGACGCCGCGUGCGGGAUGGAGGCCUUCGGGUUGUAAACCGCUUUUGUUCAAGGGCAAGGCACGGUUUUGGCCGUGUUGAGUGGAUUGUUCGAAUAAGCACCGGCUAACUACGUGCCAGCAGCCGCGGUAAUACGUAGGGUGCAAGCGUUAUCCGGAUUUAUUGGGCGUAAAGGGCUCGUAGGCGGUUCGUCGCGUCCGGUGUGAAAGUCCAUCGCUUAACGGUGGAUCCGCGCCGGGUACGGGCGGGCUUGAGUGCGGUAGGGGAGACUGGAAUUCCCGGUGUAACGGUGGAAUGUGUAGAUAUCGGGAAGAACACC